UUGGAGGGCAAGUCUGGUGCCAGCAGCCGCGGUAAUUCCAGCUCCAAUAGCGUAUAUUAAAGUUGUUGCAGUUAAAAAGCUCGUAGUUGAAUUUCGGGAUCAGAUUGUCGGUCGUGCCUCGGUACGCACUGGCAUUAUUGGUUCCUACCUUCUGAAGAACCGCGAUGUCAUUAAUUUGGUGUCGUGGGGAAUCAGGACUGUUACUUUGAAAAAAUUAGAGUGUUUAAAGCAGGCGCACGCUUGAAUACAUUAGCAUGGAAUAAUGAAAUAGGACGUUUGAUUCUAUUUUGUUGGUUUCUAGGAUCGACGUAAUGAUUAAUAGGGAUAGUUGGGGGCAUUAGUAUUCAAUUGUCAGAGGUGAAAUUCUUGGAUUUAUUGAAGACUAACUACUGCGAAAGCAUUUGCCAAGGAUGUUUUCAUUAAUCAAGAACGAAAGUUAGGGGAUCGAAGACGAUCAGAUACCGUCGUAGUCUUAACCAUAAACUAUGCCGACUAGGGAUCGGAUGAUGUUGAUUUUAUAAUGACUCAUUCGGCACCUUACGGGAAACCAAAG
rnacentral:rRNA from 1 species